UACGUAGGGUGCGAGCGUUGUCCGGAAUUACUGGGCAUAAAGAGCUCGUAGGUGGUUUGUCGCGUUGUUCGUGAAAUCUCACGGCUUAACUGUGAGCGUGCGGGCGAUACGGGCAGACUGGAGUACUGCAGGGGAGACUGGAAUUCCGGGUGUAGCGGUGAAAUGCGCAGAUAUCAGGAGGAACACCGGUGGCGAAGGCGGGUCUCUGGGCCGAUAUUGACGCUGAGGAGCGAAAGCGUGGGGAGCGAACAGG
rnacentral:rRNA from 1 species